GACGAACGCUGGCGGCGUGCCUAAUACAUGCAAGUCGAACGAGAGCGACCGGUGCUUGCACUGGUCAAUCUAGUGGCGAACGGGUGAGUAACACGUGGGUAACCUGCCCAUCAGAGGGGGAUAACAUCCGGAAACGGAUGCUAAAACCGCAUAGGUCUUCGAACCGCAUGGUUUGAAGAGGAAAAGGGGCGCAAGCUUCUGCUGAUGGAUGGACCCGCGGUGCAUUAGCUAGUUGGUGAGGUAACGGCUCACCAAGGCCGUGAUGCAUAGCCGACCUGAGAGGUUGAUCGGCCACAUUGGGACUGAGACACGGCCCAAACUCCUACGGGAGGCAGCAGUAGGGAAUCUUCCGCAAUGGACGCAAGUCUGACGGAGCAACGCCGCGUGAGUGAAGAAGGUUUUCGGAUCGUAAACCUCUGUUGUUAGAGAAGAACAAGUGCUAGAGUAACUGUUAGCGCCUUGACGGUAUCUAACCAGAAAGCCACGGCUAACUACGUG
rnacentral:rRNA from 1 species